UACGUAGGGUGCAAGCGUUGUCCGGAAUUAUUGGGCGUAAAGAGCUUGUAGGCGGUUUGUCGCGUCUGCUGUGAAAUUUCGGGGCUCAACCCCGAACUUGCAGUGGGUACGGGCAGGCUAGAGUGUGGUAGGGGAGACUGGAAUUCCUGGUGUAGCGGUGAAAUGCGCAGAUAUCAGGAGGAACACCGAUGGCGAAGGCAGGCCUCUGGGCCACUACUGACGCUGAGAAGCGAAAGCAUGGGGAGCGAACAGG
rnacentral:rRNA from 1 species